rnacentral:rRNA from 1 species
AACGAACGCUGGCGGCGUGGAUAAGACAUGCAAGUCGAACGAAGAAUUUAAAUAGCUUGCUAAUUGAAUUCUUAGUGGCGGACGGGUUAGUAACACGUGAGAUACUUACCCCUUAGACAGGAAUAGCCCAUGGAAACGUGGAUUAAUGCCUGAUAGUCUCUACGGAGUAAAUGAUGCCUUCGGGUGUCGCUAAGGGAUAGGCUCGCGGCCUAUCAGCUAGUUGGUGAGGUAACUGCUCACCAAGGCAACGACGGGUAGCUGGUCUGAGAGGACGAUCAGCAACACUGGAACUGAGACACGGUCCAGACACCUACGGGUGGCAGCAGUCGAGAAUCAUUCACAAUGGGGGCAACCCUGAUGGUGCAACGCCGCGUGGAGGAUGACGGUCCUAGGAUUGUAAACUCCUGUCAUUGGGGAGUAAGACUUGGUUGUUAAUAGCCUCCAAGUUUGAUAGUACCCAAAGAGGAAGGGACGGCUAACUUCG